rnacentral:rRNA from 1 species
CAGUCGCCACGGGAAUACGGAGGGUGCUAGCGUUGUUCGGAAUCACUGGGCGUAAAGGGCGCGUAGGCGGCCUGUUAAGUCGGAUGUGAAAGCCCGGGGCUCAACCCCGGAACUGCAUCCGAGACUGGCAGGCUUGAGACCGGGAGAGGAGGGUGGAAUAUCCAGUGUAGAGGUGAAAUUCGUAGAUAUUGGAUGGAACACCGGUGGCGAAAGCGGCUCUCUGGCCCGGAUCUGACGCUGAGGCGCGAAAGCGUGGGGAGCAAACAGGAUUAGAGACCCCGGUAGUCCCUGUCUCUUAUAC